rfam:Salmonella enterica subsp. enterica serovar Trbana str. R8-2977 Contig383, whole genome shotgun sequence.
CACACACUUAAUUAAUUAAGUGUGUGNNNGCCGCAAUUCAGCAUUAGUAACCAAGGGGUCUGCUCGUG